AAUAGAUACCCCGGUAGUCCACGCCGUAAACGAUGGAUGCUAGCUGUUAUGCGUAUCGACCCGUGUAGUAGCGAAGCUAACGCGUUAAGCAUCCCGCCUGGGGAGUACGAACGCAAGUUUAAAACUCAAAGGAAUUGACGGGGACCCGCACAAGCGGUGGAGCGUGUUCUUUAAUUCGAGGCUAAGCGAAGAACCUUACCAGGGCUUGACAUCCUUGGAAUUUCUCCGAAAGGAGAGAGUACUUUAUUGGACCAAGUGACAGGUGCUGCAUGGCCGUCGUCAGCUCGUGUCGUGAGAUGUUUGGUUAAGUCCAUUAACGAGCGCAACCCUUAUGAAUAGUUGUAUUUUUCUAUUCAGACUGCCCCGGUAACGGGGAGGAAGGGGGGGAUGAUGUCAGGUCAGUAUUGCCCUUACGCCCUGGGCUAGAAACGCGCUACAAUGGCCGGUACAAUGCGCUGCCAACCCGCGAGGGGGAGCAAAUCGCAUCAAAGCCGGUCCCAGUUCGGAUAAGAGGCUGAAACUCGCCUCUUUGAAGCCGGAAUCGCUAGUAAUCGU
rnacentral:rRNA from 1 species